CAGAUUCCAAGAGCCUUUCUGCAUCGCCAGGACAUGUCUGUCCUUGAGCUUUACGUCUGGGAUGCGUCCGAAUGCAUGCAUCGCUCAUGGUGAUGGCGUCCGAACACAUGGGAUUGACUCGAAGUCGUGUCCGUGUCAGUUUCCGCGGACAGUGAAGGUUAACGCCCAGUUUUUUGUAUGUGCGUGUUUUUUUCCUGUGAUUUACA